UACGUAGGGUGCAAGCGUUGUCCGGAAUUAUUGGGCGUAAAGGGCUCGUAGGCGGUCUGUCACGUCGGGAGUGAAAACUCAGGGCUUAACCCUGAGCCUGCUUCCGAUACGGGCAGACUAGAGGUAUGCAGGGGAGAACGGAAUUCCUGGUGUAGCGGUGAAAUGCGCAGAUAUCAGGAGGAACACCGGUGGCGAAGGCGGUUCUCUGGGCAUGUCCUGACGCUGAGGAGCGAAAGUGUGGGGAGCGAACAGG
rnacentral:rRNA from 1 species